rnacentral:rRNA from 1 species
AUUGAACGCUGGCGGCAGGCCUAACACAUGCAAGUCGAGCGGAUGAAGGGAGCUUGCUCCUGGAUUCAGCGGCGGACGGGUGAGUAAUGCCUAAGAAUCUGCCCGGUAGUGGGGGAUAACGUCCGGAAACGGGCGCUAAUACCGCAUACGUCCUGAGGGAGAAAGUGGGGGAUCUUCGGACCUCACGCUAUCAGAUGAGCCUAGGUCGGAUUAGCUAGUUGGUGGGGUAAAGGCCUACCAAGGCGACGAUCCGUAACUGGUCUGAGAGGAUGAUCAGUCACACUGGAACUGAGACACGGUCCAGACUCCUACGGGAGGCAGCAGUGGGGAAUAUUGGACAAUGGGCGAAAGCCUGAUCCAGCCAUGCCGCGUGUGUGAAGAAGGUCUUCGGAUUGUAAAGCACUUUAAGUUGGGAGGAAGGGCAGUAAGUUAAUACCUUGCUGUUUUGACGUUACCAACAGAAUAAGCACCGGCUAACUUCGUG